rnacentral:tRNA from 1 species
GCGCCCCUAGCUCAAUUGGCAGAGCAGCUGACUUUUAAUCAGCGGGUUCGGGGUUCGAGUCCCCGGGGGCGCACCA